CCUACGGGGGGCUGCAGCAAGGAAUUUUCCGCAAUGGGGGAAACCCUGACGGAGCAACGCCGCGUGCGGGAUGACGCUUUUCGGAGUGUAAACCGCUGUUCGGGGGGACGAAGCACUGACGGUACCCCCGGAGGAAGGCCCGGCUAACUACGUGCCAGCAGCCGCGGUAAUACGUAGGGGCCAAGCGUUGUCCGGAGUUACUGGGCGUAAAGCGUGCGCAGGCGGCUCGUUGCGCCCGACGUGAAAGCCCCCGGCCCAACCGGGGAGGGUCGUCG
rnacentral:rRNA from 1 species